GCUUAACACAUGCAAGUCGAGGGACCGGCGCACGGGUGAGUAACACGUAUCCAACCUGCCCUUUACUCGGGGAUAGCCUUUCGAAAGAAAGAUUAAUACCCGAUGUAAAGGAUGGGGAUGCGUUCCAUUAGGUUGUUGGUGAGGUAACGGCCCACCAAGCCUUCGAUGGAUAGGGGUUCUGAGAGGAAGGUCCCCCACAUUGGAACUGAGACACGGUCCAAACUCCUACGGGAGGCAGCAGUGAGGAAUAUUGGUCAAUGGGCGCGAGCCUGAACCAGCCAAGUAGCGUGAAGGAUGACUGCCUAUGGGUUGUAAACUUCUUUUAUAUUAGAAUAUGUAUAAUAUGAAUAAGGAUCGGCUAACUCCGUGCCAGCAGCCGCGGUAAUACGGAGGAUCCGAGCGUUAUCCGGAUUUAUUGGGUUUAAAGGGAGCGUAGGUGGACUGGUAAGUCAGUUGUGAAAGUUUGCGGCUCAACCGUAAAAUUGCAGUUGAUACUGUCAGUCUUGAGUACAGUAGAGGUGGGCGGAAUUCGUGGUGUAGCGGUGAAAUGCUUAGAUAUCACGAAGAACUCCGA
rnacentral:rRNA from 1 species